UUAAAGAUUUAUUUAUUCUAUAUAAGUACACUGUUGCUGUCUCAGACACACCAGAAGAGGCCAUUGGAUCCCAUUACAGGUGGUUGUGAGCCACCAUGUGGUUGCUGGGAAUUGAACUCAGGACCUCUGGAAGAGCAGUCGGUGUUUUUAACGGCUGAGCCAGCCCCCACUGGAACUUCUUGCUGAGCCCCUGGCAUGAUCCCCGUAUCUACAGAGCAGGACUUUUUAGACAUGUCACAUGGUGGUUGGUCUUGAAUUCAAAGUAGUCCUUCUGCCUCAGUCUACCAACUUGGGAUUGCAAAUACAAGUCCUGGUCUACCUACUUGGUGUUUGUGAAGAAAUAGCAUGUGUAGCCUCUGAUAACGUUAUUAGCACCACAAACCAACAAGCUGAGCUGACUGUCCAGCAGUUAAAAUGCCAGCCUUCCCUGUGGUCAGGGCCCUAAAGGAAGGGCAUUAGGUCCCCAAAGAAUUGGGGCCUUGAUAGCAAGAAGUUUUGAGUUGGUGCUGCUCUGGCAGUUGCUCCCUACAUCCACACAGCGGAGCAAUGUGGCACACACUGGCUUCUCCCUCUCCUUGCUUUGGGGCAGUCUCCUGUUGCUCAGGUUGGCACUGAACGUCUGA
rnacentral:lncRNA from 1 species